rnacentral:rRNA from 1 species
GACGAACGCUGGCGGCGUGCCUAAUACAUGCAAGUUGAGCGAUGAAGCUUGGUGCUUGCACCAAUUUGAAGAGCAGCGAACGGGUGAGUAACGCGUGGGGAAUCUGCCUUUGAGCGGGGGGCAACAUUUGGAAACGAAUGCUAAUACCGCAUAACAACUUUAAACAUAAGUUUUAAGUUUGAAAGAUGCAAUUGCAUCACUCAAAGAUGAUCCCGCGUUGUAUUAGCUAGUUGGUGAGGUAAAGGCUCACCAAGGCGAUGAUACAUAGCCGACCUGAGAGGGUGAUCGGCCACAUUGGGACUGAGACACGGCCCAAACUCCUACGGGAGGCAGCAGUAGGGAAUCUUCGGCAAUGGACGAAAGUCUGACCGAGCAACGCCGCGUGAGUGAAGAAGGGUUUCGGAUCGUAAAACUCUGUUGGUAGAGAAGAACGUUGGUGAGAGUGGAAAGCUCAUCAAGUGACGGUAACUACCCAGAAAGGGACGGCUAACUACGUG